ACCAGACUCCUACGGGAGGCAGCAGUGGGGGAUAUUGCACAAUGGGGGGAACCCUGAUGCAGCGACGCCGCGUGGGUGAAGAAGUAUUUCGGUAUGUAAAGCCCUAUCGGCAGGGAAGAAAUUGGACGGUACCUGACUAAGAAGCCCCGGCUAACUACGUGCCAGCAGCCGCGGUAAUACGUAGGGGGCAAGCGUUAUCCGGAUUCACUGGGUGUAAAGGGAGCGUAGACGGCCAUGCAAGCCUGGAGUGAAAGCCCGGGGCCCAACCCCGGGACUGCUCUUGGAACUGCGUGGCUGGAGUGCAGGAGGGGCAGGCGGAAUUCCUGGUGUAGCGGUGAAAUGCGUAGAUAUCAGGAGGAACACCGGUGGCGAAGGCGGCCUGCUGGACUGCAACUGACGUUGAGGCCCGAAAGCGUGGGGAGCAAACAGGAUUAGAUACCCUCGUACA
rnacentral:rRNA from 1 species